UCCCUCGGGAGCGCAGGGCCGGGGCAGCAGCCCGCUCCUUCGGGGGAGCGGGGGCGUCGUGCCGGCAGGUAUCCCCCGGGCGAGAGGAGGGGGAGAGGGGGGAACCUCCCCCUCCGUCCGGGCGGCGGGCGGGGAUGUGCCAUUUCUCUUCCCGAAAAACGAUGCGGGACGCCAGGGCCGGGCCCGGCAGGGAGCGCCGCCCUCCGGAGCUGUGGCUUGUGCCGCUCCGGGUGGGUGUUCAUCGCUCAGGUGAAGGGAGAGGAGACUUCGCACUUGCACUCGCUUGUCUUCUCUGUGGCUGUCCUAGGAAGAUUUUUCAUGAUAGCGGCAUUUCAAAAAGGCAGUACUCGAACCCAUCUCAUGUAACAGGAGAAAAGGAGAAACCUCAACAUAGAUGAGGUGAAAGAGCAUCUUUCCAUUCAACUCUGACUGUGAUACCUUUGGAAGGAAGAAUACUUUAUGGAGAAGGAUAAUGUCAUAGGUAAGGCUGAGGGCUAUAUAUACAGGUUCUUUCUGUGGUUCUGCCAAUGACCUUUUAUCUGAUAUGGAGAACCUACUACCUCUAUACUACAUUUUUCUCAUCUUCACAAAGAGGAAAAUACCUACCUCAAGGAAUCCACAGAUAUGAGUUUAUUAACUUUUUUAAAGGAAUAUGAGAUCUCAAAGGAUUAUGUGAGUGCACAACAUUACUGAUUGUCCCACUCCUGUGUUACAGAAAACUGUGUUAUGCAAGAACACAAUGAAAAACUAUUUUCCUUUUCCCUUUCUGAUUUCUUGUGCAGAUUUUAUAUUUUGGGCUGUGUGUAUAGAUAUUAUACUUAGAAAUUACAUUAGGUCAUUUCCAGGUUGCUAGUAGAAGGUGGCAGACCUAUCUAUCCCAUAUUAUGAAGUAUCUUGAGAGCUGGCAUAUUGGAAAUCUAGAUCUCUGAACAUGCCAAAGAAUUUUAACUUCAGUCUUUUUUUCUGUCUACAUUUCACUUGACAUGUUUACCUUUUUGUAGGAUAUUACUGGAAGGUGUUUGAACCCUGGAGGGGUAGAUUUUAACCAAACAUCUGAAACGUGUUAUUGAGUAAAUCUCUGUGCUUCUCUCAGUCAUUUGUAUUGGACAUACUCCACUUCACAUGGUUAACUGCAUUAUCUGUUUGGAGAGAGCAUAAGGGAAGAUGACUUAAUAGUCCAGAAAGCAGAAAACCUGCUGGGUGUGUGGGAGUGUGAGGUUCAGAUCCAUGGACUGAAAUAAGCAAAGCAAGAACGUCAUGGUUGGAUUCUUACUCCCACGUGCCUGCCUGAAACUCUUUUAAGGUCAGUGAACAUCUGUCUUCCGUCUGAAUUUGACCAGAUAAGCCUUGUCCUUUACAAGUAGUGUGAGUGCUUCUCAGUCAUACUUUUCUAUUUGGACAGAUCAACAGUUUCUGACAAACAACUAUCUUAUCACAAAAUUUUCUGUCAGUUUUACUUCAAACAAACCUACUCUGCAAUAAAAAAGCUCAGUGGUAGAACACACAGGGAGUGACUUGCUGAACAAAAAAAGCCCCAUUUUUUUAACUAAUUCUCUCUGUUGCCCAACAUCAUCUAGGUUAGAAGUUCCUGGUAUGUGGGCUGGGGGUCAUCAUGGGAUCAUACUAAAUAUUAAAACCAAAGAAU
rnacentral:lncRNA from 1 species